UUCACUUAUUUUACUUUUACAUGCUCUUUUGAUCUAUUGCUAUCCUUGUGUUGCGAUUCUGUUGUGUCACGUGUCCUAUCCACCUGUUACCUAUAUGUCCGAGAUACACCUCGCCCUACCUAUUGUUUGUUGUUUGCCAGCUUUGCGAGUCGUAGGCGAGUUUAGGGUCUUGUUGAUAUCUCGAGAUGUUCGGGGUAUCUUAUUGGGAGAUUAUCACAUGCUAUAUCUUUUGUUGGAGAUAAUCACACUUUACUUUAUUGUUAACAACUAAAAUUGUAAGCAGAGGCAUCCGUGAGCCCCUUUGCGAAAGCAUCGGAACUUUGACUCGCUAAUGUCCCCUAGGACCCGAGUUCUUGUUAUCUGUUCCGAGAUUGAGCGCUCUACCCGUACGUGGGGGAAUGGGACCCCCAUCACCCACUACCUUUCCUCGAGUCUGUUUAUUGGGAGCCACAACCUUGGUUUUAUUUGCCCAUAUGCACGAUGCACGAUUUACUUCCUGUUGCCUUCGGGUGUUUAUUUCUGUACUGUACUCAUAACGCGGGACUCCUUAUCCUUGGCCGGUCGUUAGUGCCCGCCUUGGAAGCCGUCGCAAACCUCUGGGUCCGUAUCGGAGUACGGCCGGACUUCGUCACGGGUAGCUUAGUUGGGUGGCUCCCAUUAAACUUUCUCUUGCAUUGGGAACGGUCUUGUUGUGAGACUUCACCUGUAGUAAGUGGGGUCGAGCAUGCGUAUGGUUACAUUUGGGCAACCCCUGCAGGGUGUACAUCUUAUCGAUAAGCCGUGUCCGCGGUUAUGGACGACUUGGAAUUGUAUAGCUUGAUCAUAGAACAACUUACACCUUAUUUCCUGUUGUUAAUAAUUUGCUAAUAAAACUCUUUCAAAAAGUGUGUGUGCUUUUGCCAGUACCUCUUCGCGAAGGGGGAUCGCAUCGGCUGUGUUAUGUUUGCAGAGUAUAGAACUGUUACCUUGUGCGCUCUCUUAUCUUCUCUGAGUAGACGGAUGUUGUAGCGAGUCUCUAUUGGAUAGUAGCUUUGCUGCCGCUAAACUCCACAUAUAGCCGGGUGAAGUUUAUACCGCCCACCAGCGAGCAUAGCUGGUCUUGUCUCGCAAGUACGUGCCAAUGGUACUUACCCUCGCCUUUCUUUCUUUUUGUCUCUUCCCCCUUUUGUCGGCAACCGAUGGCCCGACUUUGACAGGUACGAGAUGACGACGUUAGCAAGGUUACCCUUCCGGCUUGGCCUGGGCAGGGUUAUGGACGUCACUGGUUAUCUUCAGGACUCUUAGUCCAAUUUGUAUCUUGUCCGUACUCGGACGUAUUUGAUCUUCUGUAUGAUUUGGAUCUUUGUAUUGUGUAUUUGUAUCUUGACUCGUUGGAGUCGUUGUUGUAAUAUAUGUUUCUUGUGGGCUCUAUUGUAAUCCUGUUGUAAUGUUACCGCUCGUGUUAAUUCCUCUGGCAUCACGUGUGUGAUUCUUCGCGCACGUCGUGUCGGAGGGCGUCUCUGAAUCGAUAUCAUGCGGUUUUCGGCGGGAUCGCUGGAAUCCUCAUGGUACCGGUUCCGGGGCGUCACAAGUUGGUAUCAGAGCCUCAGGUUGACGGUACCCCACUAGUCCAGCCUGUAGGAUAACCUUGCCAAUGGUCGUUGAGUUUAGAGUGUCAAAACUAUUUUCUAAAAUUCGUUGGAUAGAUCUGAUUAGUUCUGAGUUUUCUCCUUACCUAAAUUCUUUCUCCUCUUACCUUGGCGAGUUUUGAGUCUUCUCUCUUAUCUGGUUCACCGAGUCUUAGGUUCCGACGUGGGUUGGACGAUCUAUGCCUUCACCUAUUAGGACCGAUCUCUGAAGAUUUCUGACAGAAGAACAUCACCGGCGGCUAACCUUCGUAUUCUCCAUUGAUGUCAUAUAUGCCUCUCUGAUCUCUCUACUAUUCUUUGUUCUUUGGCUCCGUCGAAUCUUCGCUGACAACGCUUGUCGAUAUCGUCAAUCAGAAUUCUGGGAGCUGUUACACGACUCUCCUAUUCAUGUGCAGAGUAAUACUUUGAGUGCGGGAUGGAGUCAUGACCAUACCGACUACUCUUAUUAUUCGCUCAUGUUACCUGAAUUGGUGGAUCCGUGUGACUGUUACUCCUUCCUUUGUUUCUCCGGAGUCAUCCUCGUCAUCGGAACAACGACUUCUUGUGGGUGGUGUCGCCGACCAAGCUGGAGCAAGACUUCUUGUUAGUGGUGUCGAGAAGAUCGACACGUCGCCUGAAGACCCGAUAGUUCACCUCUCUCCCCCGUACCUUGAGGUGGGAUCUCGGGGCGCGAUCCCUUGUUAGUGGUGUCGAUUGUAACGGCCCCGGGUAGAUACCCCUAUUAGAUUUGCUUGUUGUUUUUCUUUUAUGCAUCAUCAUAACAUCAUGCAUGCAUCACAUCCAUGUUUUGACAAAAUAAAAUUUAUUUAUAUACACCAAUUAUUUUGUUUUCCUCUCAUAUGGUUUAAUUAAACCCUCCCCUUGUCUAUUCAUUUAACGAGACCUAAAACAAAACUAUUUUUAUUUUUGCUAUAAAAUUGUUGGCAAUGAUAGCCAUUACUUUUAUUUUUCUCUCCACCUCUGUAUUUAAAAUACAUACUUAGUUUGAUCUGGUUUCAAAUCAUCUUGCAAGACAGUUUUGAAAAUAAAAGAGAAAUAAAAUUUUAAAAUAAAAUCUUUCCUAUCCGGUCCUCUCUUUACCUGGUCUCUUUUCCAUCUAGAGCAGCCCAGCUCUUUUCAGCCGUCCUCUCCAGAUUGUAUUGUUUUGGCAGAAAAAUAUCUUCUCAUCGUUGGCAUAUUCUUCAGCAGAGAGCAUGCGAGGAGCGUGCCGUGAUCCUCCUUCUCUUCGUUCGCUUUAUCCCUGGACACAGCUACAGCCUCACAUCGCGUGUGACCACCUCCAUAUCUGCUCAAACACCGGCGCCAGAUCUCCGUCGCCUCAUCGUAUUCGACCGCCGUUCGUUGUUCUGAGAGCACCAGCAGCUUUGCCUCGCUCUCCUCGUUCUCCACAUACAAGUUUUUCGUCGGGAACCCCUCCAAAUCGACAACACUGACCACUUCUCCAUCUCCGCUGCCGGCAGAAACCUUGUGUUUCCGGCCGCCUCCGCCCUCGCCCGGCUACCCCGAGCACUUCCCUGUUCUCCGGGUGAGCUCCCCUUUCCGUUCCAAGUUUUCCCCGUCUGAAUCGCACCCUGCACACCAUCGCUAACAACUGACAAAACUGAUGGUCGUUUUUGCCCGAGGAUACCUCUGCCAUGGACGCGAGCUGGGCGAGCUUGUUCCCUGCCUCGUUUCUUUUCCUCCUAGUCAAGGCCGUUCUCGACGCUGUCCAUCUCCACGACGGCCAGCUUGUCCGCCUCCUGUUGCCGCUCGUUGCCAUGACCGCCGCCAAGCACUCGACCUUCCCCGCUGGUCCGCCCCCUCCGCAACAAGCCGGCGUCUCCUUCAACUCCCCGCUGAAACUAUCUUCAUCAGAUCAAAGCCUAUUCUGCGUCUUGGAUUGGAUGGUGUUCAGAAAUCGCGAGCGCUACCUUUUGAUCAGCAACCGGAGCACUUGCUUCUUCCCGGAUAGGAUCACGAAGUGGUGAUGUGAGAUACGACGAGUUCUCCGACAAGUUCUUCUGCAGCUUUUCACAGGCGAGCCCACCCCUUCACCUAUUUUACUUUUACAUGCUCUUUUGAUCUAUUGCUAUCCUUGUGUUGCGAUUCUGUUGUGUCACGUGUCCUAUCCACCUGUUACCUAUAUGUCCGAGAUACACCUCCUCGCCCUACCUAUUGUUUGUUGUUUGCCAGCUUUGCGAGUCGUAGGCGAGUUUAGGGUCUUGUUGAUAUCUCGAGAUGUUCGGGGUAUCUUAUUGGGAGGUUAUCACAUGCUAUAUCUUUUGUUGGAGAUAAUCACACUUUACUUUAUUGUUAACAACUAAAAUUGUAAGCAGAGGCAUCCGUGAGCCCCUUUGCGAAAGCAUCGGAACUUUGACUCGCUAAUGUCCCCUAGGACCCGAGUUCUUGUUAUCUGUUCCGAGAUUGAGCGCUCUACCCGUACGUGGGGGAAUGGGACCCCCAUCACCCACUACCUUUCCUCGAGUCUGUUUAUUGGGAGCCACAACCUUGGUUUUAUUUGCCCAUAUGCACGAUGCACGAUUUACUUCCUGUUGCCUUCGGGUGUUUAUUUCUGUACUGUACUCAUAACGCGGGACUCCUUAUCCUUGGCCGGUCGUUAGUGCCCGCCUUGGAAGCCGUCGCAAACCUCUGGGUCCGUAUCGGAGUACGGCCGGACUUCGUCACGGGUAGCUUAGUUGGGUGGCUCCCAUUAAACUUUCUCUUGCAUUGGGAACGGUCUUGUUGUGAGACUUCACCUGUAGUAAGUGGGGUCGAGCAUGCGUAUGGUUACAUUUGGGCAACCCCUGCAGGGUGUACAUCUUAUCGAUAAGCCGUGUCCGCGGUUAUGGACGACUUGGAAUUGUAUAGCUUGAUCAUAGAACAACUUACACCUUAUUUCCUGUUGUUAAUAAUUUGCUAAUAAAACUCUUUCAAAAAGUGUGUGUGCUUUUGCCAGUACCUCUUCGCGAAGGGGGAUCGCAUCGGCUGUGUUAUGUUUGCAGAGUAUAGAACUGUUACCUUGUGCGCUCUCUUAUCUUCUCUGAGUAGACGGAUGUUGUAGCGAGUCUCUAUUGGAUAGUAGCUUUGCUGCCGCUAAACUCCACAUAUAGCCGGGUGAAGUUUAUACCGCCCACCAGCGAGCAUAGCUGGUCUUGUCUCGCAAGUACGUGCCAAUGGUACUUACCCUCGCCUUUCUUUCUUUUUGUCUCUUCCCCCUUUUGUCGGCAACCGAUGGCCCGACUUUGACAGGUACGAGAUGACGACGUUAGCAAGGUUACCCUUCCGGCUUGGCCUGGGCAGGGUUAUGGACGUCACUGGUUAUCUUCAGGACUCUUAGUCCAAUUUGUAUCUUGUCCGUACUCGGAUGUAUUUGAUCUUCUGUAUGAUUUGGAUCUUUGUAUUGUGUAUUUGUAUCUUGACUCGUUGGAGUCGUUGUUGUAAUAUAUGUUUCUUGUGGGCUCUAUUGUAAUCCUGUUGUAAUGUUACCGCUCGUGUUAAUUCCUCUGGCA